GUUUUAAUAGUUUAAAAAAAACAUUGGUCUUGUAAACCAAAAUUAGGGUAUCCUUUAAAAUU
rnacentral:tRNA from 1 species